AUACGUAGGUGGCAAGCGUUACUCGGAAUUACUAGGCGUAAAGCGCGGGUAGGUGGCUCAGCAAGUCUGUCGUGAAAGCUCCUGGCUCAACUGGGAGAGGUCGGCGGAUACUACUGAGCUUGAGUGUGGGAGGGGGUGCUGGAAUUCCCGGUGUAGCGGUGAAAUGCGUAGAGAUCGGGAGGAACACCAAUGGCGAAGGCAGGCACCUGGACCAAUACUGACACUGAGCCGCGAAAGCUAGGGGAGCAAACAGGAUUAGAAACCCCAGUAGUCC
rnacentral:rRNA from 1 species